rnacentral:rRNA from 1 species
UACGUAGGAGGCAAGCGUUGUUCGGAUUUACUGGGCGUAAAGCGCGCGCAGGCGGCAUGGCAAGUAAGGUGUGAAAUCUCCCUGCCUAACGGGGAGGGUGCAUUUUAGACUGCCAAGCUAGAGGACGGUAGAGGGGGGUAGAAUUGCUGGUGUAGCGGUGAAAUGCGUAGAGAUCAGCAGGAAUACCCGUGGCGAAGGCGGCCCCCUGGGCCGAACCUGACGCUGAGGCGCGAAGGCUAGGGGAGCGAACGGG